GAUGAACGCUGGCGGCGUGCCUAAUACAUGCAAGUCGAGCGAAUGGAUUAAGAGCUUGCUCUUAUGAAGUUAGCGGCGGACGGGUGAGUAACACGUGGGUAACCUGCCCAUAAGACUGGGAUAACUCCGGGAAACCGGGGCUAAUACCGGAUAACAUUUUGAACCGCAUGGUUCGAAAUUGAAAGGCGGCUUCGGCUGCCCCUUAUGGAUGGACCCGGGUCGCAUUAGCUAGGUGGUGAGGUAACGGCUCACCAAGGCAACGAUGCGUAGCCGACCUGAGAGGGUGAUCGGCCACACUGGGACUGAGACGCGGCCCAGACUCCUACGGGAGGCAGCAGUAGGGAAUCUGCCGCAAUGGACGAAAGUCUGACGGAGCAACGCCGCGUGAGUGAUGAAGGCUUUCGGGUCGUAAAACUCUGUUGUUAGGGAAGAACAAGUGCUAGUUGAAUAAGCUGGCACCUUGACGGUACCUAACCAGAAAGCCACGGCUAACUACGUGCCAGCCGCCGCGGUAA
rnacentral:rRNA from 1 species